AAAAAAAAUUUACAUAUGGCGGUGGUAUUCAUAUAUGACCGCCAUAGGGCAUCGAGGCUCUUCCUGUUUCCUUGUUUGGUUCCGGGAGUUAUAUAUGACCGCCAUAGAGUUUUCCUUUUUCACUAAUCUCUGGUUUUCUGCUUUCCUUGAUUGGCUGCUGGCAAAUCGUUUGGGUAUUCAACUUUCUUAUGUGAUCUCGUGUUUGACGACAUUCAUUCUCUAGCGUUUCCUUUCACUAAUCUCUCCUUUUCAGAUUUCGUUGUUUGGUUGUUGGAAAUUAUUGGGGAAAAGUUCGCCGUGAACUUAGGGUUUUCGUGAUUGUUUGGUUUUGAAUUUCUUUUCAAAUAGACGGCGUCCUAUCUGGUUUUCGGCUUUCCUUGAUUGGCUACGGGCAAAUCUUUUGGGUAUUGAACUUUCCUAUGUGAUCUAGUGUUUGACGACACUCUCUAGGGUUUUCUUUCACUAAUAUCUCGUUUUCAGAUUUCCUUGUUUGGUUGCUGGGAAUUAUUGGGGAAAAGUUCACCGUAAACUUAGGGUUUUCGUGAUUGUUUGGUUUUGAAUUUCUUUUCAAACAGAGGGCGUCCUAUCUUCGUAAAAUUCCUUCAAGAAAUCAUAUAUAAACUCAAAAUUUGUGUUCUAGAUUGACUACUAUUUCUAGUUCAAUCGUUGUAGAUGUUAUUUUAUUUAGAUGAAAGACACAGUUGCUCUUAAUAAAAUCUUAGAUGAUUUCCAGUUGUCUGUUGAAGUUGUUUGUUAACCUUAAUGAUUCACUCAAAUAUGUUUUUUGCAGCGUAGAUGCUUAUUAUUUGGGAAUGUCCUGUCUGUGGCCUAAGGUUGUUUUGUAUGGCACUAACGCUCUCAGUUGUUUAAUCACGUCGCGUGUGUUUUGGUGGGCGUGAGAAUUGAUAUUGUCUUCAAAGUGGUGAUAGGAUACUGGAAUGCUUUGGAUACAAAAAUGAGUAUCAAAAAUGCAUCGAGCAAAGCAUAAAUAUGCAGAAAAGCUGCUGCAGGAAGUAGAUGGUUACGAGACAACUGGCAUUGGUGAUCGUUCGAAGCUGCUUGAUAAGGUGCAUUCAUUGUAUAACUGCAUGAGUGUUUGUUCUGAUUAAUCCUCAUAAAAUUGAUGACAACUGGCAUUAUUGAUCGUUUUAAGCUGCUUGAUAAGGUGCAUUCGUUGUAUAACUGCAUGAGUGUUUGUUCUGAUUAAUCCUCGUAAAAUUGAUUUCAUUUAUAUUGUGCAUAAACAAUGCUUUGAUCUCUCUUCUUGAAUAUGUGUUUCUUUUUUCA